GGAGAAGAUGGCAGGACUCGGAGGAGCUUUAGAAAAGCAAGCACAUUAAAAAUAAAUUAAUUUAGGACUUUUCAGAAAAAACUUCUCUAUGCAGUAGUGAGCAAGGCGGAUGUGUUAAAGGUGCGAGCUUGUAUUGCCAACACUCCCUGAAGGCCACAUAAUCAUUGAGACCUUCUUAUGGACGCGCGGAUGGCCUCCCGAUUCAUGGAGGGAGAUCUCCACAAACGUCGGAGAGGUGCACAAAGUUGUGGAGGAAAAUAUGGGACAAAUGUGCAUGCGCGGCACCCGUGAAUUCUUUAGCGAAAAUCCCUAAACCAAAACCCAUUCAUUCUCUAUGUUAGUGCUAAACCACUACGGAUGUAAUAUAUCUUUGGCCACCGGUGGCGCUGUUGUGCGGACCGAGCGUGUACCCGGAUGUAAAGCGUUUCUCCGGACAUUCUCCGUCAGUCUACCCGGGAAAGAGCACCGAAGCGACAGUCCACCUCUGUCGGACCUCGCGCUGUGAGGAAGUCACUAAACAAUGCUGACUCAAGCCUCUGUUGAGAAGAUUGCACUCGACAUCAUGGAAAAGCAGCAGGAACAACAACAACCACCGAGGCAAAAGAAGGGACACACGAAAAGGUGUCUUUCCUGUGGCCAGCCAAAGUCUAGGUAUGAAAAUGAUGGUUCUUCAAUCCACUUCUUCUACCAGCAGGGCCCGGUCCGAUACUUCUACUGCUCCGCUAAAGUUUUUAAAACUUAUGGUGCUGAAGGUCUGACAAACCCCAAAAUGCCUUUUGUAGACUUUACUGAGACAGUUCUCUCAGCUAGAACUGGAUGCCACACAGAAAAGGGUGGCAGAGAAAGGACCGCAGAAGAGGAAAAGAACUGAUUGCCAGUCCGCAGGUCGCAAGUGUCUGUUCUGUAAGAUGGAACUGAAGCAGGGCCCAAACAGUCGUCACAUUCACACUGGGUUCCCUGGAGUAACAGGGAAGUACAUUUUCUG
ensembl:lncRNA